rnacentral:lncRNA from 1 species
GGGAAUUGAUCGUCUCUUUUGUAUAAUACUGUCCGAACAGGCCUCCCCCUAACCCCAAAACCUAUUUCAGUCCCUCAUCUCUCUUAAAGAGACUAAACCCUAGCCGCCCUCUCCCUUCCCCGCCGACUCCGCGUCGCUCCGCCGCCCCAAAAUCACCCUCCGAUGAUAGAGUAUCCCUAGAUUGCUCCAAAUUCACACCCCGUAAUCCAGAGCCCCUCCCAAACACUAUCCCACUAUCCAUUUUCCCAAAAGCACCACCCAAAUCUUACAAUUUCAGAUAUAAAAAUCAAACCCAAGGCCUAGUUCACCCAAACACCUCCAUACUCACACCCUACAACCCUUUCUCCUCCUCACUACAAAUCACCAAACAUUUCCCGUCAAAGCCACAUACAACUCCUUGAAUCUUGGAUAUAAGAAUCCCAAGAACAAAUGGUCAUUGGGUCCUUCUUCAUCAUUUCUUUCUAUUAGUUUUGAGAUUCACCCCAAAUGUUUGUUCUUGACAAGAACAAUCAUUUGGGGUCAAUUUUAAGCUGUAUCGAAGCCGAACACGGGGUCUGUUCUAUUCUUUCUAUAUCUCAUUAGGUAUUACCCUUUUCCUUAUUUUUCUGUUCUUAUUUUAUUUUAUUUGUGUUCUGGUCCACGCCCGUGAAAACAAAAGAAAAUAAAAAAAAAAUAUGUUGCUAGGGUUUUAUUCAUCUAUGUCUUCUCUUGUUUUUGUUAAUUAAGCAGUAACAUUAAUUAAAUCGUAAUUUUUAGGGUAGAUUCCUUAUGUUGCUUUUCUUUUCCUGCUUUUGUUCUUCGUGUUCAUUUCUGUUUUGGUGUUUAGUUUCAUGCUUUAGGUUAUUUAUUUUAUUUUAUGUUAUUGUUAUCUAUUUGAUUUGAAUGCUCCACACGAGUUCAUCCUCAUUAUUCGUCUCUUAAAUUCAAUCUGGUUUAUAUAAUAUUUUGUUGUGGUUUGAGUAGUUUUCAUAGCCGUUUAAAUUAGAAUUCUAGUUGUUUAAAUAAGAGAUUCAUCACGAAAUCAGUUCAUUUUAAGUUUUUUUUAGUGUUCAAAUGUUCAAAAUUCAAUCACAUUGUCUAGUUUUAUAUGAUUUACAUUGCAUGCCCGUUUGUGUUUACCCUAAUUUAUAAAUCAGUGAAAAUUUCUAGGGGUCUUGAACAAAAGAAAAACUGAAAUAGGAUAAGACCAUGAAUAGAAGGUUCUAGAAUAUGGGCAGCCAGCCCUAUUUGACUAGUACAAAAUAUUGAAACCAUUUAGGGAUAACCAGCUAUCCAAUUAUGUUAAAAUAUGCCUUUUGUGGCUGAAAGUAACAAUUCCUUUAUUCUUUCAGCACACGACAUUUUUUGUUCGCACCUUGAAAAGAAUGGACCUUGGGCCUAACUCAACCCCAAAAGCUAGCUUAUGAGAUGAGGAUUGCCN